GGCCCGCACAAGCAGCGGAGCGUGUGGUUUAAUUCGAUGCUACACGAAGAACCUUACCAGGGUUUGACAUGCAAGUGGUAGGAAACCGAAAGGCGACCGACCCUUCGGGGAGCUUGCACAGGUGCUGCAUGGCUGUCGUCAGCUCGUGUCGUGAGAUGUUCGGUUAAGUCCGCUAACGAGCGCAACCCUCGCUGUGUGUUACAAGUGUCACACGGUACUGCCGGUCUUAAGCCGGAGGAAGGUGGGGAUGACGUCAAGUCAGCAUGGCCUUUAUGUCCUGGGCUACACACACGCUACAAUGGCCAACACAAUAGGUUGCUAAGCCGCGAGGUGGAGCCAAUCCUCAAAGUUGGUCUCAGUUCAGAUUGCAGGCUGCAACCCGCCUGCAUGAAGAUGGAGUUGCUAGUAACCGCAGGUCAGCUAUACUGCGGUGAAUACGUUCCCGGGGCUU
rnacentral:rRNA from 1 species